rnacentral:rRNA from 1 species
UGGGGAAUUUUGGACAAUGGGCGCAAGCCUGAUCCAGCAAUGCCGCGUGCAGGAUGAAGGCCUUCGGGUUGUAAACUGCUUUUGUACGGAACGAAACGGCUCUGUCUAAUACAUGGGGCUAAUGACGGUACCGUAAGAAUAAGCACCGGCUAACUACGUGCCAGCAGCCGCGGUAAUACGUAGGGUGCGAGCGUUAAUCGGAAUUACUGGGCGUAAAGCGUGCGCGGGCGGUUAUAUAAGACAGAUGUGAAAUCCCCGGGCUCAACCUGGGAACUGCAUUUGUGAAUGUAUAGCUAGAGUACGGCAGAGGAGGAUGAAAUUCCGCGUAUAGCAGUGAAAUGCGUAGAUAUGCGGAGGAACACAGAUGGCGAAGGCAAUCCCCUGGGCCUGUACUGACGCUCAUGCACGAAAGCGUGGGGAGCAAACA